GGGCCCGCACAAGCGGAGGAACAUGUGGUUUAAUUCGAUGAUACGCGAGGAACCUUACCCGGGCUUAAAUGUAGGAUGCAUGUAGUGGAAACACUCUUCCCUUCGGGGCUGCCUACAAGGUGCUGCAUGGUUGUCGUCAGCUCGUGCCGUGAGGUGUCGGGUUAAGUCCCAUAACGAGCGCAACCCCUAUCGUUAGUUGCCAUCGGGUGAAGCCGGGAACUCUAGCGAGACUGCCACCGUAAGGUGAGAGGAAGGUGGGGAUGACGUCAAAUCAGCACGGCCCUUAUGUCCGGGGCUACACACGUGUUACAAUGGACGGUACAGAGGGCCGCUACCCCGCGAGGGGAUGCCAAUCUCGAAAGCCGUUCUCAGUUCGGAUCGCAGUCUGAAACCCGACUGCGUGAAGUUGGAUUCGCUAGUAAUCGCGCAUCAGCCAUGGCGCGGUGAAUACGUUCCCGGGCCUU
rnacentral:rRNA from 1 species